UACGAAGGGGGCUAGCGUUGUUCGGAAUUACUGGGCGUAAAGCGCACGUAGGCGGAUAUUUAAGUCAGGGGUGAAAUCCCAGAGCUCAACUCUGGAACUGCCUUUGAUACUGGGUAUCUCGAGUAUGGAAGAGGUGAGUGGAAUUCCGAGUGUAGAGGUGAAAUUCGUAGAUAUUCGGAAGAACACCAGUGGCGAAGGCGGCUCACUGGUCCAUUACUGACGCUGAGGUGCGAAAGCGUGGGGAGCAAACAGG
rnacentral:rRNA from 1 species